CCAGUCCUGUUAAUUUCUCCGAUUCUCCAAAAUUCAAGCUAACUCCAACGAGUGGUCGUCUUUACCCAUUUCUAUUGGUGUAUGUAUAAACACAAUGUGGUGGGUACAUAUGAGUUGCAAUUCUUCUGAUAUAAUUUCUUGCUGGAAGUUUUCAUGGAUGGUAAUUGUGAACCAUAUUCUUCGUUAUCCUUGGUCUGUGUUUCUUUUCUGCUGUUGCGAUAUAACUCGGUGAGCAUGUAAAAAUUUGAUUUUAAUAUUUUUAGAACAUGACUUAGAAACCUUCAUUCUAUUUCUGAGGUUCUCUAUGGAUUUGUAUUUGUUUUUCUUCUGCUUUUUCUUUUUUUGUUCAAUUAAGUGUACCAUGUUAUACUUUUUAUGGAUGAUAUAUAUUUCUACAUGCAUUGGAUUAUUUGUUCAAACGCCUCUUAUGAAAAUUCUCUGAAUAGGUACAUACUUUGUUGCAACAUUGUGCAUAUUGAUGUAGCUAAGAUGCUUGAUAAUAUGCCUCUUUUUCUUUUCCCCAUAAGAGUAAUAUAGCUUACAUAUCGAUCUGCAAUCCAAAGAACAUGUCAAAGAAUAUGCCGUUGUGUUAAAGAAUUGCUUUUUGAAAUUAAAUCCAUUUGCUUCCUUUUAAGAAAAUCCAAUUGCUUCCAUGUAUAUUUCUAUUGCAAUGUAGCUAUCUAGCUUUAUUCCAACGGAGGUUAGACAUAAAGAAAUGUGCUCAUAAUCCUCAUGUUAUUAUUGCAGUUACGAAGUUAAUUUGGCAAGAGAGGAAGAUGGAUGAAUCCACAAAAUCGAUUGGAUAGGAUGUUGACUCUUGCACCAGAUAUUGGCAAUUUCUAUGCAUUUUUUGUUACAAUUUUGAAGAGCAUUAUGGUACUGAAGAGCAGAGGAAUGAUGUGCUGAAGAGAUGUGUUAUAGGAUCAAAGCAUGGUAAAACUAACGUAAAUACAGUUAUCUAAUAGCAUUGAAGCCAUGAUCAAGAAGGUGAGAACUUUACAACUUGACUUAACCUCUCUUGAAUCAGUCCUCUACCUAUGAGCACAAGCAUUAACAUAGUUAUCAUCAUUUUCAUCAGAAUCAAAAGUUUGAUCCAAAAUUCUAAAAUAUUGCAUAAACUAGGAUGUGAGAGUUCUAAAAGCUAACACAACUAUCAAAAUUUUAAAAAAAAGAACAACACUCGGAUAAUACAUCCAAGAAGCAUCUAGAAGUCUCAUAAACAUAUGAAGAAAGUUAACCUGAAUGUUUGCGGUUGUAUACCUGCCAAUGUUAGUUUGCAUUGGAAGUUGUUUAGAAUGUGAGUUGCAUGUACAAUAUAAAUACAUUAGCAUGUGGUUCACACUAGAAGUAUACACCUUCUUGCCGUGUGAUAACUCCAGACUAAUAAUUCCACAUGGGAUAAGAGUUCAAAUACAUUACAGGCUGGCUAGCAAAAUGAAGACCUGUAUGAGCACUUUUAUGAACCUUUGUCACCAUAUAAAAGAGUUUAUAAUAAAAUGUCUAAUGAGCUUACUGGAUAAUGUCUCACAAAUUCCAUAAUAAUAAUUUUAUCUUAAAAUAAGUGAAUACUUUACCAGAUAUAGAUGCCAUUGAUAAUUUUGCAUCUGUUAUUGAAGUCGACAUUCACAAAUCCCGCAACUUAAGGUCAAAUCUUAGUAGUAGACAUCGCUUAAAUCUCACAAAUUUAAUAAGCAGAGCAUAUUAGUCAUUUGAUGCAAUUCAAACGUCUCCUUCCUGAAUCUUCUUUUUUGUUUCUUAGUGAUUAUUUCUUAUAUAUAUGAUUUAAAGCUAACCCGAUUACUAUUUUCUUUGUACGUUGAUGAUAAUCUUUCUUUGUCAGAUGCUUCCAAGUAUGUCCUUAAGACUCGUGAAAUUCUGAAUUUUGUAGUUUAUAGCAUCUGCUAUAAUACUUAUAGUGAACAGGAAUGUAUUAUUGCUGGUAAUGGACUUGAGGCUUGCUACUCUGAUAGGGAACUGACAGCUAUUCGAGCAAGUUUUCGGCACCGGAUACUCUUUCGAGGAUAUCAUUAACAUUGAGAGCUUCUCUUAUCAUUUUGGAGUCAUUGACUUGAGUUAAACUGAUAGAUAGAAAGGGGACCUGAAGACGGAAGCCAGAAAGAUUUAAUUUUACGUAUAAAAACACAUUGGUAAUUUCUAUGCUCUGGUAAUUGAUUAAGAAUUUUAUCUCCGUCCCAUGAUACCAGUAGAUGAUAUAAGAAUCUGCUAAAGAGAGGAUACUAACAGAGUGUAAAGCUUGCCUCAAAGUUAAAAUAAAAGAAGAAUGUAGAAGUUGAUAGAUUGAGCAUCAAUAUUUUUUUUUGGUCAAACAUGAUGCUUAUAUUAAAAUAACUUAAGUAACAUUACAGGGAGUGGUGGGCCUUGACGGCUCCAAGUUACAAAAAGAUGCCAAGACUGGCGGAACAUAGUGUUCCGAACAAUUACAAGCAUUGGAUGGGAAAUUCAAAUCAAAAAAUGGAGGAUCAGUGGCAUGGUUAGGUGAAAAGCGCCAUAGCUGCAAAGUGCCAGUUUGAUCAAUCGUCAUUUCUGGCAACAAAAAAGUUGGUGGAUGCAAAAACAUCGUAGUAGCAUUCCCCAUCUCUAGAGUUGUGCCGUGUUUUGCUAAUUUGUCCGCCACCUCAUUUAGCUCCCUAGAUGUGUACGAUACUCUUGGCUUACCCAGCUGGUGGAGGAGGGACCUGCAUUCAUGAAGUAUAGAUGAGUAUUGAAGAUUAUGGUUUCGGAGCAUAUUGAUUACCUCUGUAGAGUCGAUAUGUAUUUCUAGCGGCAUCAAAUGAUGUUGUAAGGCGAUGCAGAGUCCUUCAAGUAAAGCACAAAGUUCCAUAGAUGUAGGAUUUCCGUAAUUACGUCGUGCUGCAUAACCCAUUAUCCAUUGCCCUUCCGAGUUUCUGAAUACACCACCCAGACCAUUUUUUGAGUAAUGGUGUCGCAUGCUCUGUCUGAGUUAAGUUUAUAAAAGCCCUGCACUGGGGGGUUCCAUUUUAUGUAUUGUGAGGAUGCAACAUUUCGUAUGCGUUUGCUGUUGUGUAUUAGGUAUGCAUAUUCCGUAGCCUUAGAAAUUAUAUGUUGCGUAUUAGGGUAAAUUCUAGUUUUUUCAAAAAUACUUCGAUUGCGACUUUUCCAUACGUGCCAAAGUGCAUAAGGAAUGAGUGUUUGGGACAAUAGAUUUUGUGGAAGUGGUUGUUGAAUUGUUACGAAUUGGAAUAGUCGUUGUAGAGGGUCUUCCUGAAAAUUAUUGAGCAAGUGAACGUGGGCAUGUAGACCCAAGUUAUGCCAUACUAUCUGUGCGUUUGGGCAAUGGAGUAGGAGGUGUUCUAUGUUUUCAUUUGCUCUAUUACAAAUGCCGCAUAUAGGGGUAGUAGUAAUGUUGAGUUUAUGGAGGUAGCUUGCAGUAGGUAGUCGAUGGUGGCUUAAAAACCAUAUGAAGUGUUUGAUUCUUGGAGGUGUUGGUAAUCUCCAAAUCCAUUUGAAGGUAGAGUUUGAGGGGGAGUUGUGCAAUUUGUGGUAUAAGGAUUUUACUGUGAGUACCUCCGUUGGGGUGAGACCCAGAUGAGGUCGAAAGAGGUGGGGUUUGCUAUGGUAGGUAUGCAGAUGUAGGAUAAUGAUUUUUUGAAUUGUGGUGGUAAUUCGAAAGGAAUGAGUUACAAGUUUAUAGUGUUGUGGGAGAUAUAGUUUGCAACCGUGGAUUUUAUGUCGUGUUGUGGUAGUGGGCCCUCGAUGAGUUGGCGGAAAACUACUUUGGGCCCCAGCCAAGGUUCCGUCCAAAAUUUGACGUGGAUACCAUUGGAGAUGUUCCAUGUUGGACCAUCUUGACAGUAAGACCAUCCUUGUUGGAGAGUCUUCCAAGUAGGUGUUAUAUUGUGAGGUUUUACGAGUUAAAUAUUUAGUUAAGAGGAUUGAUGCCCAGUGUGAGAGGGGUGAAUUGAAUAAUCUCCAGGCUUGGGCGCCAAGAAGUGCAUGAUUUUUGUCAGUUACGUUAGGAAUUCCCAGUCCACCAUCUUGUUGAUCUAGUUGGACAGUUUUCCAGUUUAUCAGAUGAAGCUUUCUUUUUUGUUGUGUAGUUCCCCAAAGGAAAUCUCUUUGAUAUUUUUCUAGGAUAUGUGUGAUAUAAUGAGGAAUUUGUAUUAAUUGCAUGAGGUGAUUCGGAAGACAGUUAAGCGUUGCUUUUAUGAGAGUUGUGCGACCUGCCAUGAUGAGCGUAUUAGUUUUCCAUCCUGUCAGUCAAAGUUUGAAUUUGUCCAAGAGGAAUUGAAAAUUUGACUUUGUGGGUGUGUUGUGUGAAUAUCAGGAAUCGUAGGUAUUUUCCAAAAUGUGUUCCUUCUUUCAUGUUGAAUGAAUAUAGAACAAAGUCUUUAUCUCCGGGCGUGACAUUGUGUGAGAAGAAAACUUUUGACUUGUUGUAGUUGAUGGAUUGGCCUGAAGCAUUUGUGAAAACGGUGAGGGUGUCAGUAAUAGAGUGGAUACUUUUGGUAUUUAAUUUGGAAAUCAGAGUGAUAUCGUCUGCAAAGAAGAGGUGGGAUAUUUGUGGACCGUUGUUAGAUAGUUUUAUGGGAUGCCAAUGCCUAUAAUCCACAUCGGAGUGAAUUUUACGAGUCAACAUUUCUAGGCACAAGAUAAAUAGAUAGGGGGAGAGAGGGUCUCCUUGACGGAUUUCCCUGGUUGGAUUGAAGAAAGGGGUAAGGGCACCAUUAAUAAGAAUGGAAAUUGUGGAGGAUGCGAUGCAUGACAUAAUUAGUUUGAUUAAAUUGUGUGGAAAGUUAAAGUAUACGAGGGUGUCACGUAUAAAGCCCCAUUCUAGUUUAUCAACAACCCUUUCUAGAUCUAAUUUUAAAAGGAAUUCUCCUUGCUUC
rnacentral:lncRNA from 1 species